rnacentral:rRNA from 1 species
CUACGGGUCGCUCCAGUGAGGAAUAUUGCACAAUGGGGGGAACCCUGAUGCAGCAACGCCGCGUGGAGGAUGACGCAUUUCGGUGUGUAAACUCCUUUUAUAUGUCAAGAAAAUGACGGUAGCAUAUGAAUAAGCACCGGCUAACUCCGUGCCAGCAGCCGCGGUAAUACGGAGGGUGCAAGCGUUACUCGGAAUCACUGGGCGUAGAGGACGCGUAGGCGGGUUGGAAAGUCAGGUGUGAAAUCCUACAGCUUAACUGUAGAACUGCACUUGAAACUUCUAAUCUAGAGUAUGGGAGGGGGAGAUGGAAUUAGUGGUGUAGGGGUAAAAUCCGUAGAUAUCACUAGGAAUACCUAAAGCGAAGGCGAUCUCCUGGAACAUUGCUGACGCUAAGGCGUGAAAGCGUGGGGAGCAAACAGGAUUAGAUACCCCGGUAGUC